CCAGGCGCUCCCGCUCAACACUCCUUUCUUUUGCCGCUCCAAGAAGGCAAUAACUUCACUUUUCUCUCUCUUCCCAAAAACCCUAAAAACUCAGAAGAGAGAAAGGUAAGCCAGAGAUUUUGCAGGUGAACCUGGAAGAGAUCUUUUGACGGGAGAGUUUAAAAAAUUUAGCGGGAUUACCAAAGCUUUUAUCUGCUGAUUUCAACGGCUACUUGUUCCAGAACAGAACACUGCUUCAGGCGAGUUACUGUUGCAUUUGAAUCAGAUUGUUGUUGACUAUUAGGUGAGCUUAUACUUCCAAGUGUGAGUUGGGAUUGAUUGGGGUUAGUCAAUUGAAAUAAGUAUGGGGAGUUCAGAGGUUUUGAAUGGGUCAGGGGUUCAGAGUGCUGGAAUUACUUCACCUGGUGAUGGGUUUAUGCAUUCAAAUAUUAGCUUUAAGGAGGUUCGGAGUGCUGGAUUUACUUCACCUAGUGAUGGGUUAAUGCAGCCAAGUAUUAGCUUUGGGGAUGAGAAUCUUGGAACUCAUAUCUUGGAUGAUUUAGAUUCAUAUUUGGAAGACAUUAAUGACCGCCUCACGAUUUCAAGGAAGGUGAGUGAUUCUGUCAUCAAGGAAGUGGUGAAUGCUGUCAUUAAAGAGGCUGCUGAAAAAUUAGCUUUGAAAGAAUUGGAGGUGCAGACAUUGAAUAAAAGGUUGCAAAUUUAUGAGGCUGAUGCAGAUAAAGUCAAGGAAUUAAGGUUCUUAACUGUUGGAAUGGAUAAUGACGGUUCACAGUUUAGGCUGCAGUCAAGCUUUCUUGGCACUCAUUCAGAGCAGGGUAGAAUUGAUGUUUGUUUUGGAAAUUUAAGUGGGGAUGCAGAAGAGCAGUUUCAGAGGCUCCAAAAAGACAUAAACAACCUUAAGGAGUUUAAAAUGGCUGAUAGAACGAUAUUUGGUGUUGAUUCACACACAGUAGGUGAUCAUUUUCAAGGAAAGGUUGAUGACAAAUGGGAGGAAGUGGAUAAAACCCUAAAUAUGUUGAGAGUUACUGUAAAUGCUGUCUUUCACCAGGUUAACGAUAUGGUUUACUUGUCUAAGACAUCAAUUAGUGAGUGGCAGCAAGAGCGGGAGUUUCAGGAAGAAAUUGAGGCCAUGGUGAUUCAGAAUUCUAUCAAGAGCUUACAACAAGAAUUGAAAAUUGAAGUUUGUAGUGGUGAAAAAAUUAACCAAUUGGUCAAUGAGAUUUCAAGUCUGCGCCAAGAGCUGGAUUUCAUUUCAAAGUCUUUAUCCAGUUCUGAGUUAGGCCAUCUACCAUGUCAUGGAUCUCAUGAAAGUGGUGAAGAAUGUAAUGCUGUAUUGAAAGAUAAUAUCAAUCAAAAGGCUAGCAGUCACAUAUCACUUCCCUCUUCCCUUGAGGAAAAUGGAAAACUGGAACCUAAGAUCUCUUCACUAGAUAGAAUGGACUCUGCUGAGCUGAAGCACAAGUCAAGUGAUGAAUUAAUCAUCUUUUUCAAAGCAGAAAUGGCCAAAAUGAAUAGAAACCAUGAGUCUAUUUUGCAAGAGAAGAUUGAGGAAUAUUUCGCCCUUAAGAGGGAAUCUCUAAAAGAAAGAGGUCCGCAAUCUUUGAGGAGGGAUAAGGAUUUUGACUCAUUGAAGAAGAAGAUCCCUGAGGUCAUGUCAAAGUUGGAUGGUAUCCUGAAGGAGAAAAAGGAAUUGCCUGUGAGUUAUGAAGAUUGCAUGAAUAUCCGCAUCUUAAAGGAUAGACUUGAUGCUUUGCAUUCUGAGAACCGUCUGCUAAAAAAUUUCCUUGCAAAUGAGAGAGAAGAAGUCAAACACCUAUCAUCACAGUUAUCCAAUGCGACAGAUAAAACGUCCCACCAUUCUAUGACGGAGGUAGGCUUGUUGGAAGAAAUAAGGAAGCUUAACUGUGUUAUGGAAGAUUUAAAAUGGGAUGUUUCAGUUAGGGAAGAGAUAAACAUCUGUCUCCUUAGGGAUGUAGUUAGAAACUUCAAGUGUGAUAUCGAAGAUUCAGAAACGAAGUUUAAACUCAUGCAAGAUAUUUGUAGGAUUAUUCUCAGGGGAGCUGUUAAGGAAGCUGAGGCAAUAAUGGAAUGUGGUGUCACAGAUUCAGAUAUGGAAUAUAUUAUCAUGCAAGAAGUUUGUGGAAUAAUUCACAGAGAAGCUUUUAAGAAUGCCCAGGCUGCAAUCAAUCUCAUUGUGGCUGAAUAUGAAAAGGAAAAUGAACAGAUUGAAGAAACACUUUUAGAAACUAAGAAAUCCCUAAGGUUAGAGACUGAGGAGAAGGAGCAAUUGAAGCGAGAGCAGUUCUCAUUAUUAAUAUUAAUGGCAGAGAAGGAAAAGGAGUCAGAUUCAAUAAAGAGUAUACUUGACUUGACUUUAAAACUUAUAGGUCAAUAUGAGGGAGACAUUAGCAAACUAGAUCAGAAACUUAAGCUAGAAAUGGAGAAGUUAAGUGUAGCUGAUGGAGAAAGAAGAGAUCUUCAGGCUGUUAUUCAAGAGAAGCAAGCCACCAUAUCAUUACUCAAAUCAAAAGAAAGGGAACAUGGGAAGGAAAUGGAAUGCAUUAUGAUUUCUAUUGAAGCAUUAUCAAAAGCGGUUGCGGAUUUUAAGUGCCGACUAACAAAGAAUGUUGAGCAGAAUUCUUUGAGGUUGGAAAAAUUGACUUCACAAUGCCAUCCAUUAGUCCAAAGGGCUACAGAAAUUAAAAGAACGGGGCUGGCUUACAAACAGAGACUUGAAAGAAGAUGUUCUGACCUCCAAAAGGCUGAGUCAGAGGUUGACCUAUUAGGGGAUGAGGUGGAUGCUCUUCUAAACCUUCUCGAAAAGAUAUACAUAGCUCUUGAUCAUUAUUCGCCAAUAUUGCAACAUUAUCCCGGGAUUAUGGAGAUCCUGAAAUUGGUUAGAAGAGAAUUAAGUGGAGAAACUGUUAAAUUAUCUUAAUCAGAUCUUCAAUAAGGAGAUGUUUGCUAGCGGGGUCAUCAAAUAAUUUAUCAUGUGGCCAGGGGAUGAUUUAAAUAAAUGGUAGGCCAUUCAGUUGAUCUGGUGCCCAAAACAUGGCAUGUCACCAGUCCAGCGCUUAGAUCAGCCAGUUCAGCACUAAACAUGGCAUAAGUAGUUGGCUUCUGCCUGUCAAUGCCAGCUUGCUUUGAGUCUUUGACAGGUCCAUAUUAGUGUUGUAUAUGUCAAAAGUGAUGAUCUGGGAAAUGUUUGCAACAAUGAAAUGAACAGGAUACCAUCAUUCUCUUUUUGAGGUGACAGUCUUCUGCAGUAUGAUGCUGAUGGGUCUCACCUCUCGCUCCAAGUUUUGGAAGCUUUUCCACUAGUUGUGUAGUUUUGAAUGCAGAAAAUGAGAUGGAAAAAGUAGUGAAGAUUUGGCGGUUACUAUAACUCAGCUGGCAGUCUUGCCUAAGAUACGAACUGGAUGGAGUUAUUUCAGUCCCAAAUAGUAAUGUAUUUUUUUUGGAAUGUUUGUAAUAUAUUCUAUUUGUCAAGCGAAGGAAAUUGGUUUUGAUGGAAGCUUUGGUUUUCUUGGAAGUCCCUUGUAUCUUGGCCAAAAUGUAUAUUUGUUAAUUGCAGUAUUAGUAAUGAGGGGAAUUAAAUUAUCAUUUUGUGA